AAUGAACGUUGGCGGCGUGGAUUAGGCAUGCAAGUCGUACGGGCCGCAAGGCCAGUGGCGCAAGGGUGAGUAAGGCGACGGUAACCAACCCCGUGACCGGGUAUAGCCGCGGGAAACUGCGGGUAAUCCCCAGCUACGUCAUGUGAGGGCAUCCGCAUUUGACCCAACCUCCGUCGUCGCGGGACGGGCCGUCGUGCUAUUGGCUGGUUGGCGGGGUAACGGCCCACCAAGGCGAUGAUGGCUACCGGGCGUGCGAGCGUGGCCCGGCACACCGGGACUGAGACACUGCCCAGACUCCUACGGGAGGCUGCAGUCGAGAAUCUUCGGCAAUGGGCGCAAGCCUGACCGAGCGACGCCGCGUGGAGGACGAAGGCCUUCGGGUUGUAAACUCCUGUCGAGGGGAAAGAAGGUCCGCAAGGGCUUGACUGAUCCCUGGAGGAAGCACGGGCUAAGUUCGUGCCAGCAGCCGCCGUAAAAC
rnacentral:rRNA from 1 species